UGCCAGCCGCCGCGGUAAUACGGAGGGGGUUAGCGUUGUUCGGAAUUACUGGGCGUAAAGCGUACGUAGGCGGAUUAAUAAGUUAGAGGUGAAAUCCCAGGGCUCAACCUAGGAAUUGCUUUUAAAACUUCUGUUCUUGAAUUCAGGAGAGGAUAGUGGAAUUUCCAGUGUAGAGGUGAAAUUCGUAGAUAUUGGAAGGAACACCAGUGGCGAAGGCGGCUAUCUGGACUGACAUUGACGCUGAGAUACGAAGGCAUGGGUAGCAAACGGGAUUAGAUA
rnacentral:rRNA from 1 species